AGUGAACGCUGGCGGUAGGCCUAACACAUGCAAGUCGAACGGCAGCACAGGAGAGCUUGCUCUCUAGGUGGCGAGUGGCGGACGGGUGAGGAAUACAUCGGAAUCUGCCCAGUCGUGGGGGAUAACGUAGGGAAACUUACGCUAAUACCGCAUACGACCUUCGGGUGAAAGGGGGGGAUCGCAAGACCUCUCGCGAUUGGAUGAGCCGAUGUCGGAUUAGCUAGUUAGCGGGGUAAUGGCCCACCAAGGCGACGAACCGUAGCUGGUCUGAGAGGAUGAGCAGCCACACUGGGACUGUGACACGGUCCAGACUCCUACGGGAGGCAGCAGUGGGGAAUAGUGGUCAAUGGGCGCAAGACUGAUCCAGCCAUACCGCGUGGGGGAAGAAGGCCUUCGGGUUGUAAAGCCCUUUUGUUGGGAAAGAAAUCUUUCAGGCUAAUACCCUGGGAGGAUGACGGUACCCAAAGAAUAAGCACCGUCGAACUUCG
rnacentral:rRNA from 1 species